rnacentral:rRNA from 1 species
UACGGAGGGUGCAAGCGUUAUCCGGAUUUACUGGGUUUAAAGGGUGCGCAGGCGGAUAUGUAAGUCAGUGGUGAAAUCUCUGGGCUUAACCCGGAAAUUGCCAUUGAUACUAUAUGUCUUGAAUGCUGUGGAGGUAAGCGGAAUAUGUCAUGUAGCGGUGAAAUGCUUAGAGAUGACAUAGAACACCUAUUGCGAAGGCAGCUUACUACGCAGAUAUUGACGCUCAUGCACGAAAGCGU